AAUGGAUUGAUUGUGAAUGUGUAAUUUUAUGUGAAUGUGAUGUAUGGUUUUAGAGUUAUGAAAGUUGGGUAGAAAGUAUGUUAACUGUAUGUAUAAUUGAGUUUCCUCUCAGGAUAAGGGAAGGGAAUAUGUGGGAUGUAACUGUGAUGUUAUUGGUUGUUUUAUACCUCCCUGUGGGCGGUCCUGUAAUUGAAAACACUGUAAUAAAAACCAGGCUGGGUGUGCCAGCACCUCAGAUUCUGCUUAACCCUCAAAACGAAGUGUCGUCUCGUUAUUGGGGGAAUUGGAUUGUGUGCUGACUGCCAGGAGUAUAAGCCGUUUGUAUUGCUUUUCCUGUUCGGCUGCUUCCAGGGUUCCUGUGUCUGCUGUUCGAGAGUUGGUGAGUACGUGCAGUUUGGAGUUCAGGAGGUUGGUGAUUGCAGUAGCUGCUGGUCUAUGGGAAAGGGGAUUAUCGCCUAAACCGAUUUUAUCCCCUUGUGAGAGAAACGGUCCGUUACAAUUGGUGGCAAGCAGCGGGAUCGUUCCUACAACCAGAAGGACAGCUACAAGACAACACCAGUGCCUGGAUUACAAUUGAGGGCAACGUUAGUACCCGUACAGCGACCCUAUCUACAAAGGAACCAACUUCGGC